GGGGAGUUUUAGAACAUGGAUAGUUUUACGUGUUAUUCUGAGAGCCUGUAUGCAACCUUUUACCGUAAUUAUGGCUUUAUUUAUAUUGAACUCCUUCUGGAUUCAAAUUAUUCGCGAAAAGCUCACUGGCAGCUAAAUUGUAAUUACACUUUAACUAGUAAAAUUUGACACUUAUUUUGAUUAGAUGUCGUUGUGAUUUGUUUGGUUUAGUUCUACUCAGCUUGUGCGAGCCUUUAAACAAAUAGAAACAUAUUGAAAAGUGUUUAACAAUGGCCAGUAAUGUUCAUAUAUAAAGACGAGUAAUGUUUACGUUUCGCAGCGCCCCCAUCGGUAGUUGAACUCGCAAAUUCCAUUCCAUCUUUCACCAGUGACACAGCUGGGCUAGUAAUGGGAAAAUUGAAUGAAUCGAUUAAGCAAAAAAUCGAAGUUUUCAAAUUUCAGGAGACGGAGAAGUUAUAUGGCCGGAUAUUCAUGUCGAAGAGAGAUGUAAACAAGAAGUUUUAUCGCAAAGUAUUAUUUCGUCGGCCGACGAAAGAGACAACAAAUACAAUUUUGAUGAUAUCAAAGAGAGAAGAGAAUCAGUUCAAUUUAAAGGCGGGAGAGAAGGAUUGAAAAGUUAAAUAGGCUUUAACUGAUAUAAAGAGAGUUAGACUUAAGAAUAAGAUCUUAUUUUAGUGUUUUACUGAAGACUGGCAGAAGGGAUAUUUAAUACAAAAUAUAAAAAAUAAAAUAUUGUAGUGA
rnacentral:lncRNA from 1 species